CGAUUCCAUGAAAGGUUCCUGAUUUUUUUUCCUUCUUUGUCUUCUGCUAGCAUCGGCUGCUACCCCUGCCAUGUUUGGGCAUGAACGCAGCCCGUGGGUGCCGGUUCAUUCUUUCGAGCGCAUCUUUUCUUUCUCUCGCUCUCCUUCGAAUCCAACCAUGGCCGCCCCUCCUUCCAUUACUCACCAUCACCCAUGGCUUAGCAAAAAAGAGAAAUUAGGCGUGGCAGGAAGCGAGGCAGCAGCGUCCAUGUCCCUCCCUUGGCCGAAAAGACCCUAAGCCCCCAGCGCAUCGCCGCCGGGCCCCUCUGCAGCACCGUCUCCGGCAUCUUGCCAAAGGGUGUGUAGACCUUGCCGGAUCCGCCCUGCCGCCGCGGAUCCAGUAUGAGUUCCCUACUCCGAGAACCCCGCGUCUAUUAGUUCUCCGUUAGUUGAUUUGGCUUGAGAAACUGCUUUUCCUGGGUUGAGAUUUGGUCUCCUUGACUGAAUCGGAGCUGGUGUGUAUCUACUUCUUUGGCAGUUUAUUGUGUCGUUUGAUGAUAGGUCUACUCUAUAUGCCAUCUUAAAUCUUGAUACAGGUGAGUUGCUUCUGCUUCAAACUAGCUUUUCAUCCCUUCUAUUUGAAAACACUAUUUGUGUGUACUACUUCUGAAUCUGAAUUUGAGAACACUAAAUGGCAUAUGCUUCUUUUUUGCGAAAAAAUGGCAUAUGCUUCAGAAUUCGCACCAGUGACACAAGGCGAGCAAUUCUGUACACCUCUUUAUUGGAACGAGUGGUCCUCCCCCUUUGUUAGCUAGUAGUACUACGUUUUUUUUUUGGCAAAAUGUCCCAAAUUGUGGAGUUAGAGUUGGGAUGAUGCCGUACGAACUCGUUCGGUAAUUAGCUAGUGUCUCAAGUGAAUUUUUUGCACAAGAAUUUGAUGUUAUGUAUAUGGUGAAUUACUUUUGACAUAAUUCCUGUGUUUUAGUAUCACUACCUUGACCAAAAAGUUAUGGGAUUUAAACCAUUCCACAGUAGAGGAAAACAAGAUAAUCAUUAUGUUAGCAAAUCCAAGUUUUAAGCCUGUGCAUCAUUUUCACUUGGACGAACAAAGGUGAAUACAAAAUAAAGUUUUUUACUCAUGAGUAGUGGAAAGCUUGUUCGGAUGCUAAAUGAAAUAACUGUUUUUCCCUUCAGAUGGAUGAUCAAAGGUGAACAUUGGUGACUAAAUUAUUCUUGGUUUGAGAUUUUGAGAAAUCUGGCUUCCACUGGUUAUGUUCAAUUCUUAUGACCGCAUAAGGCUCAAAGCUACCUGUUCUGCAUACCGUCGUUGAUGGUGGAGGUUGAGCCCUCCCGCGUGCUAACGAUGCUGUUGCCUCUGUCCCGGCUCCUCUUCUUCGGUAUGCAGACCUCUCUUCGUGGUGUCGUGGUGAGAUGGCGUGAGAAGCUUCAAGACCAUGGUGGCGUAUGGCGGUGGUCGGUUUUGGUGGCGGGCUUCGAAGCGCCAGAGGUGAAGGUCAGGAUCGGGAGAAAUGCCUGUCGGCCUGGCCGACACCGACGCGGUGGCGCCUGAGGGUGCUGCCGGACCUUCCUGAAGGGCGUCGGGGCUACCCUUCUUUUUUCCUCGCCGUGUUACCGGGGAAAACCCUUGGCGGCAGCGUCGGCAUCGUCGCGUCCCUUCUUGGAGGUGUUGAUUGGUACCGGCGCUUCGGAGUCUAGGAGCUUGGUAGGAGAUCUCCGGUGGGCGCAAUGGUCGCGAGGCUUCUUCGUGUUUUUGUCGAUCCGUUGUUGUCGACAUUUGUUUUUUUGUAUUUUCUCUCUCGUUUCUUUUGGGCAUGUCUGUGUUGCUUCCGCCCCAGCACCUAUCGUUGGCUGUAUCGGUUGGUUGCUUUGUAAUAUAAAGUGGGGGAAACCCUUUUUCGUAAAACAAUUAAUAGGGUCUCCAGCUUCUAUGGAGGCUAAAUUUUAAUGUUAGGUGAGCGCAAAACAUACAUCAUUUGCCUCA